UCUCAUUGGGGUCUGCAAGACAAUACAAAG
rnacentral:piRNA from 1 species